GCUGGAGGAGGGGAGAUAAAAGGCAUUACAAAGAAGCAGCACUUUUGUUUCUAGCUCCUAGCCUUGGCUGUUCCUGCUGUUACUGGAGCUGGGGUGGAGGUUUGAUGGUCACCAUUGCUGGAGCCUGUUCUGAGCUUCCCCAGGAUCUUCCAUUAGACCCGUGUGGGGGCAGCUGGAGCGCAGCUGAGAAGUGAUGGUCCCCAGCCCUGGUGGUCCUGCCCAAAGCAGAGGGUUGAGCUGGGUCACCUCUCGAGAGCCUUCUCAGCCUGAGUGUCUUUCAACACUGCUUGUCAGAACAGAACUGGCAGGGCUGCAAAUGUUCCAACAGGAAGGACAGCACAGAAAAAAACAAACCCAACCCUGGGGAAGAGCUGGGAGUGAGGAGAGGAGUGGAUUUGUGAGGCGACAUGGCUGGGUGCCCCGCCGUGAGAACGGCGCUGGUGCUGCCGCCCCACAC